CCAAUAGCGUAUAUUAAAGUUGUUGCAGUUAAAAAGCUCGUAGUUGAACUUCAGGCCUGUCCAGAUGGUCCGCCUUAAUUGGUGUGUACUGUCCUUGGGUGGGUCCUACCUUCUGGCGAAGCGGCAUGGCCUUAAUUGGUUGUGUUGGGGAACCAGGACUUUUACUGUGAAAAAAUUAGAGUGUUCAAAGCAGGCAUAUAUGCUCGAAUACAUUAGCAUGGAAUAAUGGAAUAGGACGAUGGUACUAUUUUGUUGGUUCUAGGACCGUUGUAAUGAUUAAUAGGGAUAGUUGGGGGCAUUAGUAUUCAAUUGUCAGAGGUGAAAUUCUUGGAUUUAUUGAAGACUAACUACUGCGAAAGCAUUUGCCAAGGAUGUUUUCAUUAAUCAAGAACGAAAGUUAGGGGAUCGAAGACGAUCAGAUACCGUCGUAGUCUUAACCAUAAACUAUGCCGACUAGGAAUCGGGCGAUGUUGACAAAAUGACUCGCUCGGCACCUCAUG
rnacentral:rRNA from 1 species